rnacentral:rRNA from 1 species
AGAACGAACGCUGGCGGCAUGCCUAACACAUGCAAGUCGAACGAGACCUUCGGGUCUAGUGGCGCACGGGUGCGUAACGCGUGGGAAUCUGCCCUUAGGUUCGGAAUAACAGUUAGAAAUGACUGCUAAUACCGGAUAAUGUCUUCGGACCAAAGAUUUAUCGCCAAAGGAUGAGCCCGCGUAAGAUUAGCUAGUUGGUGGGGUAAAAAGCCUACCAAGGCGACGAUCUUUAGCUGGUCUGAGAGGAUGAUCAGCCACACUGGGACUGAGACACGGCCCAGACUCCUACGGGAGGCAGCAGUGGGGAAUAUUGGACAAUGGGCGAAAGCCUGAUCCAAGCAAAUGCCGCGUGAGUGAUGAAAGGCCUUAGGGUUGUAAAGCUCUUUUACCCGGGAUGAUAAUGACAGUACCGGAGAAUAAAGCCCCGACUAAACUCCGCGCCAGCAGCCGC